rnacentral:rRNA from 1 species
UAUUUAUUUUAUUAUAUUUAUUUUUUGUUUAUUUAAUUAUUUAAUAAAAAUAAUUUUGUUGAAUUUUGUCUUAGUAUAUUUUGUAGAAUUGAUUUUUUAUAUUAUAGUUUAUUGGUAAUGUAAUUGUUUUAUGAAAUAUUAUUUUAAAUUUUUAAAAGUAGAUUUUAUUUAUUGUACCUUUUGUAUCAGGGUUUAUCAAAAUUUUAGUAUUUACUUUACUUGUCUCGAUUUGGGUUGAUUUAUAAAUAAUUUAUAGUUAAUGUAUCAUAAUUCUUAUUAAAUUAUUUAUAGAAAUGAGAUGUUAACCGUUUCCCAAGAUAUCUAGUUUCUUAAGAAAAAAUUUAAUUUUUUAAAGUUAAUUGUUUUUAUUUAAUUUUUUAAGUAUAAAUAUUAACUUAUUUAUUCUUUAAGGGAUAAGCUUUGAAGUUAAUAACCUAUAAUUUGUUUUAAUAAAAUAUAAUAGUAAGCUUUAAUCCAGCUAUCUUUAAGAUUACGUUUUAGUUCAUUAUUUUUAUUUUUGAUUUUAUAACUAUUUUAGGUUUUUUAUUAAGAUUAUAAAUUUAAUUUUUAAAUUUUUGUAAUAAUGAUAGAAUUAGUAUAUUUAUUUGUAUAUAAUUUUUACCUUGUUAAUUUAUUAUAAGGAACUAGGC